GGUACUGAGUGGGAAUGAUUAGAAUAAAAUUGAGGACUCUAGCAGCGGACUUAGAAUGGUAUCAGCGGGUUCUCAUCCUACAACCUGACUUUGGAAGUUGGAGAUAAGGGGUGUCUAGGGGUUGGGUCAGACUCCAGUUUUGGAGUCUGACUCACAGUUGGGCGGAGCCAAGGCCCCCUGAGGCUGAGCCAGAACCUCUGAGAGUGAACCUGGAGACUCAGAGGGCAGCUGGCAGGGCUCACAGUGUGGGGUCCCACCCUGCAGAGGCUGGGUCAGGCCCUCAAGGGCUGGGUUGCUGGCUUCAAGAGGCUGGGCCAGGAUGUCAAGGGGCGGAGUUCCGGGUUCCACAGCUGGGACAGUGUUGCCCAGAGCUGAUUCCUGGGACUUGCAGAAACGUGCGAAGCUGCUCCUGCCGCACGUCCACCAGGUACCUGCAGAUGGGAAGCGCCCUGUCAGGGACCCAGAUUUUGAUCCCCAGCCAGGAUGUUCCCCACCCUCCACCCCACUGACUCACCGGGCUAAUUCCACAAUCAAGUUCCCUCCGGGUGCCACACAGGCCCCAAGCUCAGGGAUGAGAAGAUGGACCAUACUGCAGAGAGGACGGAGGACAGGCUGAGAUUCAGCUCCAAAUCCGGAGGGAGGAUGGGGCUCUGGGAUCCCAGACAAUGAGGGAGGAGGGGUGGCAAAACUGGAGUCUGGGUCCUGGGGAAAGAAGGGAGCAGGAGGUCUGGACUCCUGGGUCUGAGGGAGGAGGGGCUGGGGGCCUGGACCCCUGGGUCUAAGCAAGGAGGGGCUGGGGGCCUGGACUCCUGGGUCUGAGGGAGGAGGGGCUGGGGGCCUGAUCCUGGGUCUUUGUGAGCACAGCUGCCUCCCCGCUUACCCACAGGCCACAUAGAGGAGCUGGAAUCGGCCGUUGUAGCAGCUCUUGUGGUGGAGAGUCUGAGCAGAAUUGAGCGGCAGGAAGUGGACGGUGAAAGAUUCCGGGGUCGGGGCUGCUGGGGGAAGGGGAUAGAGGGGUCACCUCUGACAGGCGGAGCCAUAAGGGCGGAAAACCAGAGAGAUACACAGAGCUGGGCAGAGCUGGGCAGGCACACAGGACUUGGAGAUAACACUUUUUGUCCUCUUGCAGCUUUUUAAAAAAUCCUCUAAGGUAGGCUCCUGGAAAGUUCUGGGAAGGUCAGCCUGGCAGGCAGAGACUCACUGUACAGAUCAGGCAACUGAGACUCUAGAGAGGGAAAGAGGGUGGGUGGCCAGGGCCACAUGUGACAUGCCCUGUCAGACAGACACGCAGGGAGGGCCAGGUUGGAGGAUGGCUGGAAGGAGGCCCAGCCAGGAUCCAGGGUGUGGGAGGCUGUCCAAGGGGGAGCUGGGACCCAGCACCCUGUGAGAAUAUCCCAGCCUCGCCGCGCACCUUGACUGGCUGGCCGUUGCUCGUCCGCAGGAGGCUCUCGUCGUCCGCUUCGAUGCCGAAGGCCACGAAGGGCCCCGUGGCGAUGUCCCCCCAGUACCCGCGCGCUGCCACGCGCUCCCCACGCUGGAAAAGGAGGGAGAGAGGAGGCAGGUAAUCUAGAGAUGAUUUGCGGUGUAUGGGACCAUGUGUACAGGCUAUUUAUGCCUGCAUCCCCUUCGCCUCCUGUCAUGAUUGUAAGUUUCCUGAGGCCUUCCCAGCCAUACUCCCUGUACAGCCUGUGGAACUGUGAGUCAAUUAAACCUCUUUUCUUGGGGCCGGGUGUGAUCGCACCCGCCUGUAAACCUAGCACUUUGGCAGGCCAAGGCGGGCGGAUCACCUGAGGUCAGCAUCUCGAGACCAUCCUGGCCAACAUGGUGAAACCCCGGCUCUACUAAAAAUACAAAACCUUAGCCGGGCAUGGUGGUGCAUGCCUGUAAUCCCAGCUACUUGGGAGACUGAGGCAGGAGAAUUGCUUGAAUCCAGGAGGCAGAGGUUAUGGAGAGCCAAGAUCGUGCCAUUGCACUCCAAUCUGGGCAACGGGACAAGACUCUGCCUCAAAUAAAUAAAUAAAUAAACAAACAAACCUGUUUUCUUUUUCUUUCUUUCUUUUUUUUUUAGAUGGAGGUUUUGCUUUUGUCGCCCAGGCUGGAGUGCAGUGGUGUGAUCUCGGCUCACUGCAACCUCUGCCUCCCGGGUUCAAGUGAUUCUCCUGCUUCAGCCUCCCGAGUAGCUGGGACUACAGGCGCCUGCCACCACACCCGGCUAAUUGUUGUAUGUUUAGUAGAGACGGGGUUUCACCAUGUUGAGCAGGAUGGUCUCGAUCUCCUGACCUCGUGAUCUGCCCACCUCAGCCUCCCAAAGUGCUGGGAUUACAGGUGUGAACCACUGCACCCAGCCUCUCCUGGAAUUUUCUAAGUGGCUCUAAGAUGUAUUAUAUUUAGCCCCAUUUUACAGGUAGGAGGAGCUGAGGCUCUAAGAUGGCAAAUUACAUCAGAGGGGACCAUCAUCAAUAAAUAUAUUGGAUUUUUUUUUUCAUCAGAGGUACCACACUGGAAAAUACCAAACAUUUUUGGUUUUUAGAUGGAGUUUCGCUCUCUUUUUUUUUUUUUUUUUUUUUUUUUUGAGACGGAGUCUCGCUCUGUCACCCUGGCUGGAGUGCAGUGGCGCGAUCUCAGCUCACUGCAAGCUCCGCCUGCCGGGUUCACGCCAUUCUCCUGCCUCGGCCUCCCAAAGUGCUGGGAUUAACAGGCGUGAGCCACCGCGCCCGGCCGGAGUUUCGCUCUUGUUGCCUAGGCUGGAGUGCAAUGGCGCGAUCUCGGCUCACUGUAACCUCCGCCUCCCAGGAAAAUAACCAAACUUUUUAAUUGUACCAUUGAAAUGCCAGAAUCCCUCUAGGGAGGGGGAGGAGACCAGCGGUCAGAAUGCCUGGGUCCUAGCAACAGACCUUGCAGCCCCAUCUUCUCCGGUUCCUCCAGGGCUAGGCUGAAGAUCAGCAUGUGUCGGGCCACAGCUUCCAGAUUAUUCUCCAGCACAAAGAACUAGAAGGAUGGACAGGGCAGAAUAAUUCUGAGACCUGUUUGCCUGGGUCCUAGGAGACCCAGGAGAGCAGGCCCUCAGCUCUCUCCUUCCACACACCCGAGUUCUGUACACCAGCCUCUUCCUUCAAACACAGAAGUCUGUGUCCCCAGAGCUCUCUUCCCUUCCAUUACUCAGAAGACCUCAUCCUCGAGCUCUUCCCCACUAUAGAACCCAGGAGUUCCAAACCCCAGCCCCUUCCUUCCCCCAAGACGCAUCGGUUCGCUCCCAGCUUCUGCCUCCCUCAGAUCUAGGAGUCUCCAGCCCCUUCAUUCCUGGACCUGAGGUUUUAGAAUUUCAAUCCCUUCCUCCCUCAAGGACUCGGGAAUCUGGGCUCUCAUCUUCAUCCCAGCUCACGUUGAACCUCCUGCGAGGCCAGAACUUCGCUCGGGACAGGGUCCGCAGCAGGUGCCGUCCAUCCACAGAGCCCAGAAGCAGCACAUCUAGCUCGGGGUUGCUGUGCACUGUAUCGGCCUGGGAGUCUGGGUCCACAGGAGGACCUGGCAAGAUGACAGCUGGCUGGGGCACCAUGGUGGUUGGCAGAGCGUCCACCGUAGCAUCCCCUAUAAAAAAUGGACUACAAAUCCCAG
rnacentral:lncRNA from 10 species